rnacentral:lncRNA from 1 species
CAAGUCAGACUACUAAAUUAUGAAAGACUACUUGGAGAAACAGGGGGCCAGUCUGUUGAUGACUUCCAACUAGUCUUGUUCAGACUCAAAAUGGGUGCAUAAAACUAACUUACACAUCCCAAGUUCUAUUCAGCUGAAAGGUAAUGAAGCUUCAGCUGAAAACAAGUGGCAGACAAAUGCCCAGAUGAUCCUAAGAAACCUAGAAAAUCGUGAGAAAAAAUUAUUUAUAUUUUAAACACUAAGUUUUGAGAUAUUUUGUUAUGCAGCAAUAAAGAAAGGAAACAUUCUCUAUUCAAGAAUAGUUGAGUAAGAUUGAGAGAUGUGUUUCUAAUGAUAAUUACAAUCAAUUUAUUUAUGUGGAAGGUUAUUUUUCAAAUUUUAUUUUCCCUUUUUAUGUAGGAAUGUUAUGCCGUGAUCAAAGUAUUACAUUUCACACAUUAAAGCAUUCUAACAUUUCUUGACUGGUGGAAUGGAUUCUUUGAACCAUUAAAAACAAAGCCUUAAAUUGUUUUGAUACAUAUUAGUGUGUUCACUUGAAAUGAUAAUUAGUUCAUUCAUAUUUAAUUCCAAAUGACUUCAAUAUUAUUCUAUAAUCAUAUUACUAUUUUAAAAACAUUUUUGGAUGACUCACAAAGCCUAAUAAACUACUGGAAUUAAGUUUUAGCCAGAUUUUUAUCAUGACGAAAACAUUGUUUUACUUUACUUUUCAACUUUACUAGUUUGAACCAGAAAAUAGAUGUAAAAUAAGGAUAUAAUGUAUAAAAUAUCAAUAGGUUAUUAAAUAUUGUAAAUAUGAAAUGACAAAUUUCACAAAUUUCUCUACACUUAUAAAUGCUAAACUUCUGUUAUCAUAAAGCUGAAUUGUUACAUUUCAUUUCUUCAAACAGGUUUCAGUACUAUGUGCAUGGAUGAGAUUAUGUUAGGUAAAGUAGAUGAUCUGCAAUGAUCUUGAAGAAUGACUAUCAACAAAGCAGACAGAGGGAUAGAGACAACAGAGUCAGAGAAGAUAUUAAAGAAAUACUGAGAAAUUCAGCGGGGCUAGAGCCAACUGUGUCUGGGAAAAAAAUAGAAUGCAAAUCUGGAAUUUAAAAGAAUGAUGAAAUUUAUUUUGGAAUUAAAUGUAAAAUAACUUGGAAUUGAACUUGAAAUAAAUACGGAAUUGUAUGCCAUGUUAAGAAUUUUGACAUGCUAAUAACUUUUUAUUUAUCCUUUAUAAAACAAGACAGGC